AUGACGGCGUGGAGAUACCUAAAGUAGAAGAUUUGCUGUUCAGUUAUAUUUGAUUACCUAACUGUAAAAUUACUAUCAUAAGGGGAAACCUGGAGAACACUGCUGGGAAUUGCACUGAAGAAGAAACAUUUGAAUGGGAGGCUGAGUGUUGGAGUAGAUUCCAAUUAUGACCCAGCUAUGGGAUGACUUGGUGUUGGAACUGUUCAGAGAUGGCAUUAUGGCAUAGAUGUCAAGAGCAAGACUUCUGGAAGCUUCGGGUUCAA